rnacentral:rRNA from 1 species
UACGUAGGGGGCUAGCGUUGUCCGGAUUUAUUGGGCGUAAAGAGCGUGUAGGCGGCCAGGUAGGUCUGCUGUGAAAACUCGAGGCUCAACCUCGAGACGUCGAUGGAAACCAUCUGGCUAGAGUCCGGAAGAGGAGAGUGGAAUUCCUGGUGUAGCGGUGAAAUGCGCAGAUAUCAGGAAGAACACCCGUGGCGAAGGCAGCUCUCUGGGACGGUACUGACGCUGAGACGCGAAAAGCGUGGGGAGCGAACAGG